rnacentral:rRNA from 1 species
AGAGUUUGAUCAUGGCUCAGAACGUACGCUGGCGGCACGCCUAACACAUGCAAGUCGAACGAAGUAGCAAUACUUAGUGGCAGACGGGUGAGUAACAUGUAGGUAUCUGCCCUAUGGCCUGGAAUAACACGAGGAAACUUGUGCUAAUACCGGAUAAGUCUUUACGGAGAAAGCUUUAUGCACCAUUGGAUGAGCCUGCACUUGAUUAGCUAGUUGGUAGGGUAAUGGCCUACCAAGGCUACGAUCAGUAGCUGGUCUGAGAGGACGAACAGCCACACUGGAACUGAGACACGGUCCAGACUCCUACGGGAGGCAGCAGUGAGGAAUAUUGCGCAAUGGGCGAAAGCCUGACGCAGCAACGCCACGUGAGUGAUGACGUCUUUCGGGAUGUAAAGCUCUGUCAAGAGGAACGAUUAUGACGGUACCUCUAAAGGAAGCCCCGGCUAACUACGUGCCAGCAGCCGCGGUAAUACGUAGGGGGCAAGCGUUAUCCGGAUUUAUUGGGCAUAAAGCGCGCGUAGGCGGUAUUUUAAGUCAGGUGUUAAAUCCUUCAGCUCAACUGAAGGCUGCCUCUGAAACUGAAAUACUAGAGUUUAGUAGAGGAAAGCGGAACUCACGGUGUAGCGGUGAAAUGCGUAGAUAUCGCGAGGAACACCAGUUGCGAAGGCGGCUUUCUGGACUAAUACUGACGCUAAGGUGCGAAAGCGUGGGGAGCGAACGGGAUUAGAUACCCCGGUAGUCCACGCCGUAAACGUUGUUCACUAGGUGUUGGAGGUAUCGACCCCUUCAGUGCCAAAGAUAAUUCGUUAAGUGAACCGCCUGGGAAGUACGACCGCAAGGUUAAAACUCAAAGAAAUUGACGGGGGCCCGCACAAGCAGUGGAGCAUGUGGUUUAAUUCGACGAUACGCGAAGAACCUUACCAGGGUUUGACAUCCGCAGAAUCUUCUAGAGACAGAAGAGUGCCCGCAAGGGAGCUGCGUGACAGGUGGUGCAUGGCUGUCGUCAGCUCGUGUCGUGAGAUGUUGGGUUAAGUCCCGCAACGAGCGCAACCCUCAUCUUGUGUUGCCAGCACGUAAUGGUGGGAACUCACAAGAAACUGCCUGUAAAAAGCAGGAGGAAGGUGAGGACGACGUCAAGUCAUCAUGCCCCUUACACCCUGGGCUACACACAUGCUACAAUGGCCGGUACAAAGAGCUGCUAAAUCGCGAGAUCAAGCUAAUCUCAUAAAGCCGGUCCCAGUUCGGAUUGUAGUCUGCAACUCGACU